UCAGAAGCAAUGUUUAUUUGUUCCAAUGAGGGUUCAAGACAAGCUGGCUUAGGUGUGAGGUCAACAGGUUUAUGUAAUGCGAAUGCAGUGUUUGGGAACAAAGGUUGUGUCUGGUAGAUAAAUUGUCCAAAAAAAUAAAAAAAAAAAAAUAGAACGGUGCUCUGCUUUCCAUGGCUAAGGACAACUGGAAUGCAAAGUGCUGUUCUUGACUUCUGUGGGAAACCUGUUCUUACUGAAAAACAACUCUGUGGAGUGACGUGUUUACUCUCACUGUGACUAAGCACUCACCUUUCACUCUGGCCAAGGAAAAAUCAUGAAGCUGAAGACAGAACUGAAGCAGCUGCUGGUGCAAAUUCACUCCAGGUAUCCUCACCUGCUUUUAGAUCAUGAAUAACAUGGAGGGCUACAAUUCCCAUUUUUCAUUUAAGCAUUCACUGUUUAUGGUGAGUUUUGCAAGGACCAUGUUAUAGUUUUUCAAGAAUUUCAAGGUUUAACAUUUUUAUGCUUUGCAAGAACACAUUGUCGGCCGGCGCCGCGGCUCACUAGGCUAAUCCUCCGCCUAGCGGCGCCGGCACACCGGGUUCUAGUCCCGGUCGGGGUGCCGGAUUCUGUCCCGGUUGCCCCUCUUCCAGGCCAGCUCUCUGCUGUGGCCCGGGCGUGCAGUGGAGGAUGGCCCGAGUACUUGGGCCCUGCACCCCAAGGGAGACCAGGAGAAGCACCUGGCUCCUGGCUCCUGCCAUCGGAUCAGCGCAGUGCGCCGGCCGCAGCGCGCCGGCCGCAGCGGCCAUUGGAGGGUGAACCAACGGCAAAGGAAGACCUUUCUCUCUGUCUCUCUCUCUCACUGUCCACUCUGCCUGUCAAAAAAAAAAAAGAACACAUUGUCAUUAAUAUUUUAUCCCAAAGUAAAACUAUGAAGUCUUUGUAUUAUACCUUUCACAGCCAUUAACAGACUUUAAUUAUCAUAUUCACCCUAUGUAAUAGGGAAAAAAAAGGUAUUUAACUUUUGUCUUACAGAUUUAGAAGUUGAGGGAACUAAGGCAUACCUAAGACAUCUAAAUACAUAAAUGACCAAAUAUAAACUGGUAUAAAACACUUUUGACUGGCACUAGCAUUGUGCUAUAACAAUUAAAGCUGCCACUUGGCAAUGCUGGCAUCCCAGAUGGGCACCAGUUCAUGUCCCAGCUGUUCUACUUCCAAUCCAGCUCCCUGCUAAUGUGCCUGGGGAAAGCAGCAGAAGAUAAUCUAAGUGUUUGGGCCCUUGCCACCCUCGUGGGAGACAUGGACAGAGCUCCUGGCUCCUGUCUUCAGCCUGGCCCAGUCCUGGACAUUGCAGCCAUCUGGGGAGUGAACCAGCGAAUGGAAGAUCUCUCUCUCUCUAGCUCUGAGAGUUAAUUUUUAAAUGAAAAUAAAUCUUUAAAUAAAAAACUUUUGAUUAUCAAAUUAAUUUAAUUUCCAUUAAAAUCCUUUGUCAUCAAUCCUACUAUAUGAUUUCAUUGACACAUAAAAUUAUUGCCGUAGCUCACUAGGCUAAUCCUCCGCCUUGCGGCGCCGGCACACAGGGUUCUAGUCCCGGUCGGGGCGCCGGGUUCUGUCCUGGUUGCCCCUCUUCCAGGCCAGCUCUCUGCUGUGGCCCGGGAGUGCAGUGGAGGAUGGCCCAAGUGCUUGGGCCCUGCACCCCAUGGGAGACCAGGAGAAGUACCUGGCUCCUGCCAUCGGAUCAGUGCGGUGCGCUGGCCGCAGCGUGCCAGCCACGGCGGCCAUUGGAGGGUGAACCAAUGGCAAAGGAAGACCUUUCUCUCUGUCUUUCUCACUGUCCACUCUGCCUGUCAAAAAUAAAAAUAAAAAAUUUUUUAAAAAUUUAAAAAAAAAUAAAAAUUAAAAAAUUAUUAUCUUAGUAUAUGGGGAAAAUAACUUCCUCCUGGAUCCUAAGGCAAUUUAAAAAUAAAGAAUUUGAAGUCAGAAAUAUUAUGUAAAUAAAUACAAUAAAUGAAAAUUCUUGCUCAGCUCAUGCUCUGAAGGGUAGCAGAAAUUUAGCACAUGAAAUCGAAUGAAAAAAUUAAAGAGCAUUCAAUCAUAUUUGUAAAAUAAACUAUGAUAUUUCCUCUUAUUACAGAUUUUAUUACCUAGCAUCUGAACAGGGCUAUGAUCCCAUUAGUCUAUGAUGUAACAGUUCAUGGUCAACAACUAUCUGAAUCCACAUAAACUUGUCUUUUCCAUUGUUUCAUUGCCAUCUUUAUCGGUAGUAAAUAGUAGCUUAAAACCAAGAUAGGGCAGCAUAUUAAAGAUGGUGAAACUUGGUGACUAAAUCAUCACAGACGAAUUGCCACGCUUUUCUCUCAAAACUCUCCUGGAAGAAGAGCAUUGUGUGUUUUAUUCCAGCUGCUUUUUGGAAAUGAAGUAAUGCAACAGCAUUUUAAUCAUCUUUGUAUGAAAAUGUAACAAUUUCAUGAAAGCUUUACUUCAAAUUUCCAUUAAACUCAUCUUUUUAAAGAUGUCUUAAUGUCUCGAUUUCAUGAAGAAAACAGAUUGAAACAUUUCAAUAACAAAGUGAUAUCAGGUUUAAUAGUCCACAAGGGCACUUCAAAAAGUUUGUGUGGAAAUGAGAUUAAAAGAUGAGUUGAUUUCAGUGUGAAAAUGUUUUAAAUCCUUGCCUACUUUUUUCAUAGUGGACAUUCUCCAUGAACUUUUUAAAAUGUCCUCAUAUAAAUUAUUUUAAACAUAUAGUUUCAUGCUCUGUAAUCAAACCUUACUGCAACCCUUAGUUUCAUUUGAGCUAUCGUCUCUUUUCCCAAAAUCCCAGCCUCACACGCUCCUUUGCUCAUUUUCCCAUCAUUGCCCUAUCAUUCCCUCCCUUCACUCUAGUCAACUGGAAGACUUAUGACUCAGGCCCAUCCUCCCCCUCAACUAUGAGCCCUUUGCUCUCCUGCGCCUUGGGCUCUGCUCCACCAACAGUCUCACCCUUCUGCACUUUUCCCACUUGCUCACCCACGUGUAGCAUCUUCCCAGCAACGCUGAAGCCGAACACCUACAAUACAAUGUCCUGCAGCCAGGGUUCUAGUUCACCUCCUCUUCCCUCAGCCAGAGUUUUCCCUUUCUUUUCCAAGAUCAAGCCAUGGGUUUGACAAUCUCAUGCUUGUCACCUUCUACCAAGUCACUCACCAGUACACCACGUGGGCUGGCACCUUGGUCCUUCUUGAAACAAUCCUGUCCCUCUCUCCCAAAAAGCCACACAUUUUUUGGUUUUCCUUCCAUUUUUUUUUAAACUAAUAGUUGAGUUUAUUUAUUUGAAAGGUGAAAGGAAAAGAGAGAUAUGUCAUUUGCUGACCCAUUUCCCCAAAUGUCCACAACAGCCAGGGCUGGGUCAAGCCCAGGCUAGAAGCCAGGAACUCUAUCUGGUUCUCCCACAUGAGAGACAGGGGCCCAAGUAGCGGAGCCAUCACCUGCUCCCUCCCAGUGUGUGCGUUAGCAGGAAGCUGCAGUCAAGAGCAGAGCCAGGACCUGAACUCAGGCUCUCCAGUAAGGGAUGCAGGUGCCCCAGGUGCCAUCUUGAUCACUGCACCAAACACCUGCACCUUCCACCAUUCUACACUCCUGAGGAGUCUAUUUUGUUGGUGUUUAGCCUAGCAAUGCAGAUGCUAGUCAGGGCAUCUGCCACCCACAUCAGAGUGCCUGGGCUCGACGCCCAGCUCCACCUCUUGAUUUCAGCUUUCUGCUAAUAAAAAACCUGAGAGGCAGCAGUGGUAGCUCCUGCCACUGACUUGGUAGGACUGGAUUGAGUUACCAGUCCUGCUCGCUCACUCUCUCUCUCUCUCUCUCUCAUACACACACACACACACACAAAUAAAUAACAAAGUUUUUAAAAAUUUUUGUUUUUUAAGCUACCCAGUCUGUGGUAUAGCAGUUGUGGCAAACUAAUAUACUUUCUAUGAUUAGGUUGCAGCUCCUAAAGCCAUUGUUAUAGUGUCAGCUCUGAAUACCAUAUUGUGUCCCUCCACCAGCUGGAUCUCACCACAUGGAUGUCCCACAAGGUAUUUCAAGAAUUCAGCUCAUGGUGGUUCAUCCAGUUAUCUGAGCCGGGAACAUGCUCACUGUGGCUACCCACCCUCCUGCUCUGUGUCAGGUCCUCUUAGCCCAUUCCAGCUCUAACUCCACGUCAAGUAGGGCUGGCAGAUUUUCUGCCUCAGAUUUUCUCCAAAGUUCUGAGACCUGCUCAGCUGCUCUCAAAUGUUGGGGUGCUAGCUUGUCUGGGGACAAUCCCAAACCAAAAAGCAGAGUCAAGGACCAAAGGCCCAGGCUCCAGUAUUUCAGAGAGACCCUUGUCAAUGAAAUCUUGCAACACAGUUCCUUGGGGGAUUCUCUCAUAAUAUCAAGCCCCCUCCCUGAUGCGCUGUCCUCAUUAUCUCUUCCUUACUUCCUGGGUUCAUCAUUAAAAUUAACCUCUGCAUCCCAGUUUUGACUCUUAUUUGCAUUUGGGGAAACCCAUACUAAGAUAGUCAGUGUCACCCUCUUAGCUUUCUCCUCUAUGCAUCUUAUCUGGCCAUCAGUUUUGACAGACUCUCAGAUGGGUCUGCUCUCUUCAAGGCCACUGUCUUUCCGAGGUUUAUGGCGCAAUCAGCUCUUACCUGGAUGCUCUACAGUCUUCUAACUGACCUCCCCAGCUUGUACAUUGCCUUUACCAAGUUGUUCUCCAAGUGGACUAUCGGAUCCCAGUUACUCACUCAUAAAAACUUUGUCUUUGGAAUGAUAUUUUUAAUGCGACUUUCAUAAUUAAGUCUGGUUUCCCUCCCGAUUGCGUCUCUCACCAUCCCCACUUCUUUUUGAUACACUAGUCACAUUUAUCUAUGUUCAGAUUCCUGACCAGUCAUGCAACCUCUCACCUCUGAACCUUUGCACAUGCAGCUCCCUUCUCUUAUGACCUUCUCUACUCAACAACUCUUCCAUUUAUGUUAUUGUACCUAAUUUACAUCACAUUUAGUCUUGAAGAUUUUCUCUGCUGUUUAUUUUUGGUUAGGUGUCCCUUCUGUGUCUUAAAAUGUAUUGCGCUUCAUUUUCAUUAUCUACUUAAAUUUGUUUAAGCUAUCCACUCAAUUAUAAGUUUUAAAGCUUUCUAUUUCUCAUUGGUUUAAAGUAUUUCAUUUAUUUCAUAUAUUCAAUAAAUAUUGGCAGAAUAAAUGGGUUAAUGAAUAAAAGAAAAUUAUGGAAUAAUAUUACUAAAUAUUUUCAAUACCAAAAAGCCAGCAAAUAAGUUUUCAAACAAUAUAGAAAGAGCUGAAGCAAAAUAGAAGCAAGGCUAACAAAUGAAAGUCUAUAAAAUGUAGUCAAAAAUGCUACCUUCAAAAACCUUGGUUACCAUUACCUCUACAACCAUGGAUACACACUUACUCAGAUUUUUAAAUCCAUUACUUAGAAAGCAAUUUUAAGAGUUCAUAACCAAAGCAAAAAUUUUCAAAUGGAGAAUUUAAGUAAAUGCCAUAAGUCAGUGAAUAUCUUAAAUAACUUUUUAAUGAGAUGCCUUUAAUUUUUGACCUCACCCAAAGGCACAACAAGGGAUAGAUUUCAGGAAGGCUGAGAAGCAAAUCAAACCUGUUCCAGGCCUCUGACUCCUUGAUUUCUCAAUCCAACAACUGUCCCUCCUCCUCCCACCCCCACCCUCGUCCUUGCUCUACAAUUCGAAGCCUCCUGAGUCUGCCCAAGGAGCUGCUUCCUGCUGAACUGAAGAUUCUUACUGGAAUUCCCCGGCGAACUGCCCUCCCUGCUAUCAUCCAUCUAAAUAGCAGGUUAUCACUGCCACUCCCCACCCUCCCACCUUAUUACACAAAAACAAAUGUCAGCACUUGAGCAGAUAUGUGGGGAUUCCAGGCCAGAGAGAGUGAAGAGGUGGACUCCUAGACAAUCUACAGGAAAAUGGGGAGGGUAAGGCAUGGCCCUGAAGAACCUCACAAGCACACUCUGUAAGACGGUCUCACCCAGGGAGCCUCCAAGUGGUCAGGAAAGCACAGGCUGCCUGAGCCCCAUCACUGAGCAUUGCUGCCCCCAAGUUGGAGGUGGUCCCUGCUUAGAUGAUGUUGCUUUGUUGGAGAAAAUACUUAAUCCUCACCAACUCCUUAGCAACAGUGUGCCAUUGUUGUCAAGCAAAGGGGCAGAGCAGGAACAAUGCUGCCCUAUCACCAAGAAACUCUCACGUUACAAAUCCUGCUGAUGAUGAACUGGUAGAUAUUGUCAUCACUGGCUAUAUGAAAAAGCCACUAUGGUAAUUGGUUCCUUAAAAACAUUGUAUCUAAGACUAUGCGAUUAUUUUGAUCUUCAAUUUAGCAGGCAAUAACUUUUACCAUAAACAGGUUCUGAUUUGAUUCUAAGGAGUAGCUAAUGAGAUGAUGCAAAAUUCAAAAAUAAAAUUCUUUCAUUUACUCAGAAAAUAUUUCAGAUAUUCCUCUGUGUAUUGAGAUCAUUGAUGAACAAAACAGGUUAAAAUCCUGGACUUUCUAGGAUUCCCAUUUUUAGUAGGAGUAGAAUGAAGUAAUGUAAAAAGCUCAUUUUCAAGACAUUUAUCAAAUUAGUCACUAUGUCAUUAUUAAAUAUCAUAUUAUCAAAAAAAAAAACAAAAUUAAAAGAAAAAAUUUCAAGGAGCUAGCAUGUAGCCUAGUGGUUAAGACACCAGGAUCCACAGCCAAAAGUACCUGGAAUUGAUCCCCAGCCCCAGGUCCUGACUGGUUCAAUCCAGUGGCUGGCCUCCCACCCACACAGAUCUCUGAAGGUAACAGUGGGUGCUCUAGUAAUUGGGUUCCUGUCACCCCUGUAGGAAACCUGGGUUCUGCUCCUGGCUCCUGGCUCUGGCCAUAACUCAGUCCUAGCCUUGGAGGCAUUUGGAAAGUGAACCAAUAAAUGAGAGUUUCUCUCACACACUCUCUCUGCCUCUUAAAAUAAUUCAUUUUUUCUUUUUAAAUUUUAAUUUAAAAUUUUGACAACAUGAGGGCAGGUAUUUGACCUAGUGCUUAAGAUGCCUGUUAAGAUACCUGUAUUCCACGUCAGAGUACCUGGGUUCUAAUACAUGCCUUGGCUGCAGAUUCAAGCUUCCUGCCAAUGUAGACCCUGGGAGGAAGCAGUAAUGGCUACAGUACCUGGAUUUCUGCCACCCUCAUUAUUCCCUGGCCAUUGUGGGCAUUUGGGGAUUGAACCAGGAUGGGAUUGAUCUCUCUCUUUCUCUAGUUAAUUAAUUUUAAAUUAAUUACUAGUAUUUAAAUAAUUACUACUAUUUAAAUGAUAACAAGCUGUAAAAAAAAAUCACACAAGUGGGAGAAGUUGAUAACAGGGGAAAUCCUGCAGGAAAGGGCUAGCAAGGUUUGUGGAAACCUUCUGUGCCUUCCACGCACUUUUCUGUCAACCAGAAAUUCCUCUAAAAGAAAAAUGUGUUGAUUUGGGGGAGAAAUGGGCUAAGAUGAACUCACUCUCUUGUUUUGAUCUUCCACUGGCAUGGGACUCAAAACUACAAAUAGUGGUUUCCAGAUCUGGGAACUUCAGAAGCAAUGAGAAUUCUCAAAAGUGCAAAAGAAGACAGUUUCCCACUUUUCCUUUGCCAAGUAAGCCUGUUCAACAUACAUAUGUGUGCACAUGGGGACUUCAUAAACUUUGUGGGAAAAUGGAUUCUAAGAUAAUUCUAUUUUGGUGUAAAAAAAAGAAAUUCAUGCAUUUUUUAAAAAAAUAAACAUUUUCCAUGUACUUUUUGAAGAUCCUGCAUAAUACAUGGGUUUCCAAAUGAUUUGUACCAAAAUAAAUUUGUCUUUUAAUUCCAUUUCCCAAGAAUUUUUGAAGAACCUUUGUGUAGACCUAGACAUACUCUCCAUAUUCUUUAUAAAGAAAAGACAAUCAAAUCACUAAAAUAUAAGCAUAUAUUUGAAAAUAAGGAAAUUUCUCCAAAUUUAGGAAAUUUGGCCUUAUGAAAAACUUACUCCAUUUUGCGAUUUUUUUUCAUUUCAUGGUUCCCUUAUGAACACAUCACCUGACAUCUAUAGCACACAGGCUGGGAUACCAGCCCAGAGUUUAGUCAACUACAGUGCAUGGAUGUGAAAGUCAAGAUUCUUCAGCCUGACCUUCCAGAGGAUAGAGUCAGAUGGGUAAAAUCAAAAGGUCUUGGGCCCUCACAGCAGUUGCCUGCUUGCACGUUUCAUGUAGAUCUUGUCAUUUAUCCUAGCUCUGAAGUCAUAUGAAAUGUGCAAAUGUUAACUUUGUGUAGACCAUGAGUUAUUGUUCCAAGGCAAUCACUCAAUUCUUUUCCUAAAAUUCUCAUACCAGUUCCUGUUAGAUGGCGCUAGGAGUGUGUGUUCACUGAGCAGGUACCCUGACGAGACCUUUAGCAUGUGGGUCAUUAUGCAUAAUCAAUGAAGUGGUGAUGGGUUCCUGCCAGAGGAGGCAAGUGUCACCCAUCCAAUAUCCCAAGUCGGUAUUCACUGUUCCUCAAGAAGAAGCAGCAUGGUACUUGCAGGGUUAGAACUGUGGUCCAUUGCUUCUGGUAGGUGCUCCUCCCUGUCCCAGGCAGAAUCGACAGGUCUGGCUUUGAAUGUACUUGUCUCUGAGAGAAAGUAGGAAUUAAGAGCCAUUUGUACUGAAACACAUCUGACAAUGUGGGUUUUGUACAUGACUACCUGGAAUAGCAGAGUUUUCCUUGGUAUACAAUAUUCAGGGAAGAUUCCUGAUCUAUCCAACUGUGUAAAGGGAAGUAAGUACUUCGGGAAUAAGUAAGCCAAGGCUUGAACAGCAAAAUCUCUUAAAGGGUUCUCAGGCAGGUAAGUUCAGGUCCACAUGCUACCUCUCAAACUCUCAGAACAGACUAUUAGAAAUGAAGACUUUGAACAAUGCCUUAGGCUUCUCCUCAGGCAUGUGGGCAGCUGUUAUUCUGAGAAGUAAGCAACAGGGUCACAUCCUGUAUUCUGACUCCUCUGUAAGUUGAGGAAGAGUAAAUGAUUGAGUUUACCUGAUUAUUCCAUUUCUGCAAAAUAUAUUAGAAUUCAAGGGAAACUUGUAAGUAUAAAUUUUGAGGAUAAAGUUACAAAUGUAUCAGUUUAAUGCCUCUUUUAUUAAAUAAGAGAACAUUGAUCUUUCUUCUAAGGGUAUUAGUGUUUCGAGGGAAAAGAAAUCUUACACAACUGGUAACGGAGGUCAGGGCCAUGAUAAAAUUUAAUGCAUCUGUUGUGCUCUUUUCAAUUAUCUGACUUAAUUCACUGGCUGCAGUUUGUGCUAGUUCACACCUCAGAGCUGACAAUGAAACCACCAUAUUCUACAUUCCACAAAGUGGCUGGUACAAAACAGCUCUGCAGGGUUCAUGAGAGUCCUUAGCCCAACCAUAGCCAAGAAGCUGCAGAGCACACACUACACAGCAAAAAAGCUGGCAAUGUGAACUACCUAGGACUCUCCCAGUGAGUUAGAAAACCUCUCUUUACACAGACACACUUUGGCACUUGCCCUAAGCCCCUUUUCCAAAGUGAUUUUCUUCCCAAUCUACAGACCUUCUAGCACAUUAACUUCUGACUGGCCUAUUCUCCUCACAACACCAUCUAACUACUUUUCCUAAUUAUCCAUUCGUUUGUUUGGAUGGGUUAUUCUAAAAGAGUUGAGUCUUGGCAAUAAAAGACAGAGGACUCAAACUAGGGAACUUGUCUAAUCUAAUGACCAGAGUCACCUUCUUCCUGUCACAUUGACAAAUUCGAAGUGGAAGAGUUAAACCACCUUCUCCCUAAUUUCCCAUUCCUUGUAAUUCCAGAACACUCCAUGUCCUGUUCUACAUCUUCAAGCUGUACUGGUGAAUACCUUCUCCAUCUGGUUAACCAGUGGUGCCUUUCUGCCCUGUUUGCCAAUCCUGGUUUAACCUUCUUUCCAGAGUUGUUUGUCUUCACUCAGAUAAUAAACUACUAAGAUCUGGUCUGAACAAUAAAAUCAGUAAGUCAAUUAUUUUACUUAUUUAUUUAUUUACUUCUCUAUCUAUCUAUCUAUUUAGAAAGCAGACUUAGAGAGCAAGAGAAAGAUCUUCCAACCAUUGUUUCACUCCCCAAAUGGCCACAACAACCCAGGGCUAGCCCAGGCUGAAGCCAGGAGCCUGAAACUCUAUCCGGGUCUCCCAUGUGAGUGGCAGAUGCCCAAGUACAUGGUCAUCUUCUGCUGCUUAUCCAGGCACAUUAGCAGGGAGCUGGAUCAGAAGUGGAGUAGUCAGGACUCAAACUGCCAUUCAUAUAAAAUGCUGGCCUUGCAGGAAGCUGCUUAACCCAUUGUGCCACAAUGCUGGCUCCAUCAUAUACUUGGUGUACAAGAUUUACCUGUAAAGAUAACAGAAGAAAAGCAGAGGAAGUACAUUCACAGGGGAGAGUUGGAGAGAGAUUUGCAAUGGAAAUUCUACAGAAAAAAAAAAUACACCGUGGAGCAUCAUGGGCAAUACAAACACACAGCAGCAAGAGGGAAACCAACCAACCCGUGACUCCGACAGCCAGGAGCUGCAGAAGCCAGCUUCUGAAAGCAAUGUGAGAGCAGACUGUGGUAGCCCUUGUUGCUGAUGCUAGUGUCUGAAGGAGAACCUUUUGAACCACACUGAUAAUGAGUCCAGCUUAGAGCCCUAGAAAGGGUCAGAGUACCAACUAAAUUCUGUGAAGGAAAAGCACAUUUCUUUCUCCUCAUCUCCCCAACAAGGGUGCCUUGUGACAAGCAGGGAGAAAGUGCCAUCUUAACACCAAUGAAUGCUGCAGCAGCUCUAGCAUGCAUGACUAGGGGAUUUUAUCAGAGGGAAAAAUCUGCAUUUCUCUAUGACUUUGAGUCUGACUGGGAGGGUUGGCAAGGGGCUGGGCACCCAUGUAGGUCUACGAGGUGCUCCUGUCCCCCUACCCUAUCAUAAACUCCAGGGCUCAAAUUGCCAAGCCGGAGUACCCACAGGCAGCUGACUCUCAGAGUGCCUCUGCUCUCUCCAUGCACAGGGGAAGUACAAGGGGCUGAGAGUGGAUCCCCUGCACCCUGUGACUAUGGGAGCCUUGUGUGCUAUGACUGUGGGGAAUUCUGUGACUGUAUGAUAGCGUGUGGGGUGUAGCUGGGUCCCUGGGCAAGCACUGUGUCUGGUCUCAGAGGCUCAGAGCUCCAGAUUGCCUGGGGUGGAUCACUACAGAGGAUUCUGUGCUCACACUGAGGACUGCACAGAUCCUUUGUGCACUUCAUGCGCCUGUGUGGAUGGGGGGGGGUGUGUAACCACCAUGGGCUAACCCGAGAGCAAUGAUCACCUUGGAAGGGAGGAGGCAAGGUUGUGAUUACAACAGCAGAUAUGAUCAGUAGGGAUAUGAUCUCCCUACUGCUGACAAUAGAAGAGAUCUACUAUGCCCACCUUUGGUGUCACCCUGAACUCUCACCCCACCCUUGAGUACUGACCCCUGACCCCACUUAGCAUUUGUUUCUAGAUAUGCACUGAAGGAGUCACCACUCCACUAAGCCACAGAGGCACAGUUCAAAGAUAAAAGCCACAAGAGGAGAAAACCAACAAAUGUUUCCACAAAUGCCUAAAAAUAAAAGCAGAAAUAUAAGAAACAAAAAAAACAAUAUGACUCCCCCAAAGGAAUACAACACUCCAAUAAUAGAUUGUGAAGACAAAGAGAUUGACAAAAAUGCCUGAAGAUGAAUUCAAAAGAGUGAUCAUAGGAUUACUCAGAAAUGCAGAUAAAUAAAUGCAUAAAAUAAAGAAAUCUGUACAAUAUAUGGAUGAAAGAGCUUGCUGAGAGAUAGAUAUAUGAAAGAGAAAUCAACUGAAAUAUUAGAAAUUAAGAAUUCAAAUAUGUCAAAUAGAAAAUUCAGUGGAAAUUCUCAACAACAGAGUUAUUAAGGCAGAAGAAAGAAUUAAAACCAGAAGACAAAUCCUUGGAAAUAUCGCAGCAGCAGCAGCAGCAGCAGGAGGAGGAGAAGAAAUAAUUAGAAAAAACUGAAACUAAUGUUCAAGAUUUAUGGGAUACCAUCAAAUGACCAAACAUACAUGUCUUAGGAAUUCCUAAACUCAUGGAAAGAGAAUGGAUUAGAAGGCAUAUUUGGUGAAAUAGUUGCAGAAAACUUCUCUAAUUUGGAGAAAGAAAGGGACAUCCAAAUACAGGAAACACAUAGAACUCCUAAUAGACAUGAUCAGAAAAGAUCUGACACAUUGUAGUCAAAUGUUCAACAGUAACACAUAAAGAAAAGACUAUAAUAUGUGCACAAGAAAAAUGCCAGAUUACAUUUAAAGAAUCUCCAAUUUGGCUAACAGUUGAUUUCUAAUCAGAAAGUAUAAAGUGUAGGAAAGAAUGGAGAGACAUAGCCAAAAUCUUAAAAAAGAAACUGUCAACUCAGAAUACAGUACCCAGCAAAGCUCUCAUUUAUAAAUGAAGGUGAAAUAAAGACCUCCCAAAACAAAUAUAAACUGAAAGAAUUUGUAACCACUUGUCUAGCCUUAUAAAUGAUUCUUUUUGUUGUUGUUGUUUUUGUUUUAAAGACCUUUUUUUAAACUUUUAUUUAAUGAAUAUAAAUUUCCAAAGUACAGCUUAUGGAUUACAGUGGCUCCCCCCCAUAACUUCCCUCCCACCCACAACCCUCCCCUCUCCCACUCCCUCUCCCCUUCCAUUCACAUCAAGAUUCAUUUUCAAUUCUCUUUAUAUACAGAAGAUCAAUUUAGUAUAUAUUAAGUUAAGAUUUCAACAGUUUGCACCCACACAGAAACACAAAGGGUACUAGUUAUAGCAUUAAUUCACAAUGUACAGUACAUUAAGGACAGAGAUCCUACAUGAGGAGUAAGUGCACAGUGACUCCUGUUGUUGACUUAACAAAUUGACACUCUUGUUUAUGGCGUCAGUAAUCACCCCAGACUCUUUUUUUUUUUUUUUUGACAGGCAGAGUGGACAGUGAGAGACAGAGAGACAGAGAGAAAGGUCUUCCUUUGCCGUUGGUUCACCCUCCAAUGGCCACCGCGGCCGGCGUGCUGCAGCCCACGCACCGCACUGAUCCGAUGGCAGGAUCCAGGUACUUAUCCUGGUCUCCCAUGGGGUGCAGGGCCCAAGGACUUGGGCCAUCCUCCACUGCACUCCCUGGCCACAGCAGAGGGCUGGCCUGGAAGAGGGGCAAUGGGACAGAAUCUGGCACCCCGACCGGGACUAGAACCCGGUGUGCCGGCGCCACAAGGCGGAGGAUUAGCCUAGUGAGCUGCGGCGCCGGCACCCUAGACUCUCGUCAUGAGUUGCCAAGGUAUAAAUGAUUCUUACGGAUUUGCUACACAUAGAAACUGAGAAUGAUCAUCAUCAUUAUGAAAGAGUGUGAAGGCAGAAAAUCUCCUAGUCAAAGUACAAAGGAAAUCCAAAGCAAACAAUAGGAAUAUUUAUGGAAAAAUGGUAGGACCAAGUUGUGACUUAUCAAUAAUAACCUUAAAUGUAAAUUAUCUAAAUUCUCUAAUUAAAGGAUACAGACUGGGUGAAUGUAUUAAAAAUAAGACCCAUCUAUUUCCUGCCUAUAAGAAACACAUAUCACCAACAAAGAUACACACAAACUGAAAGUGAAAGGAUAAAAAGAGAUAUUCCAUGCUAUUGAAAAGCAAAAAAGGCCAGGUGUAGCCAUCCUAAUAUCAGACAAAAUAGAGUUUAACACAAAAACUGUUAAAUGAUUAAGGGAUCAAAUCAACAGGAAGAUGUGACUAUCAUAAAUGUAUGUGAACCUAAUGUCAAGGUGCCUGGCUUUUUAAAACAAAUGCUAGCAGAUCUAAAGGGAGACAUGGACUCCAAUACAAUAAUAAUGGAAGACUUUAACCCCCCACUUUCAUCAAUGGACAAAACAACUAAACAGAAAAUCAACAAAGAAACAACAGAGCUAAUCUACACUAUGGACCAAAUGGACUUAAUUGAUAUCUACAGAACAUUUCAUCCCACAAUUUUGGAAUACACAGUCUUUUCAUCAGUGAUGGAACUUUCUCUAGGAUAGACCAUAUGCUAGGCCAUAAAGCAAGUCUCAAAAAAUUCAAUAAAUAAAUAAAUAAAAACAUACUAUGCUACUCCCCAUGUAGGAUCUCUGUCCUUAAUGUCUUGUACUAUGUGAAUUAACGGUAAAACUACUACUCAAACAGUACUCUAUACUUUGUGUGUCUUCAUGAGUGCAGUCUGUUGAAAUCUUUACUUAUUAUAUAAAAAGUUGAUCUUCUGUAUAUAAAGAUAAUUGAAAAUGAAUUGUGAUGAAGAAUGGGAUGGGAGAGGGAGUGGGAGAUGGGAUGGUUGAGGGUAGGAGGGAGGUUAUGGGGGGAAAAGCCGCUAUAAUCCAAAAGUUGUACUUUGGAAAUUUAUAUUUAUUAAAUAAAAGUUGAAAAAAAUAUACUAUGUAUAUUUUCUGACCACAGUGGAAUGAAUCUUAAAAUUAAUAACUUAAACUCUAGGAAAUAUGCAAAUACAUGGAGACUGAACAACACACUCUUGAAUAAACAGUGAGUUGCUGAAGAUAUCAAAAUGAAAAUCCAAAAGUUUCUGGAAAUAAAUGAAGAUGACAACACAACAUAUCAAAACUUAGGAGAAACAGCAAAAGCAGUGUUAAGAGGGAAGUUUAUAGCAAUUAGUGCCUCCAUCAAGAAAUUGGAAAUGCACCAAAUAAAUGAGCUAUCAAUGCAUCUCAAGGACCUAAAAAAGCAAUAACAAAUCAAACUCAAAAUUACUAGAAGGAAAGAAAUAAUUAAAAUUAGAGCAGAAGUAAACAAAAUUGAAACAAAAAAGGAUCAGUGAAGAGCUAGCUUUUAGAAAAAAUAAAUAAAAUAGAUAUACCACUGGUGCAACUAAACAACAAAAAGAGAGAGAAGACCCCAAUCAAUAAAAUCAGAGAUGAAAAAGGAGAUAUAUCAAUGGAUACCACAGAAACAAAAAGAAUCAUCAAGAAUUACUACAAACACCUAUAUGCCAAGAAAUUGGAAAAUUUAGAAGAAAUGGAUAGAUUCCUGGACACAUACAACCUACCAAAAUUGAGAUCAUGAUGACAUAGAAAAUUACAUAGACCAAUAACCAAGAUGGAAACUAAGUCAGUAAUAAAGAGCCUCCCAAAAAGUAAAACCCAGGACAAGAUGAUGUCACUGCUGAGGUCUACCAGACUUUUAAAGAAGAAAUAAUUCUAAUUCUUAUAGAACUAUUUAUAAUAAUUGAAAGGGAUGGAAUCCUCCCAGUCUCCUUCAGUGAUGCCAGUAUUAUUUUAAUUCCAAAACUAGAAAAAGAUACAACAAAGAAAGAGAACUAUAGGCCAAUAUCUCUGAUGAACACAGAUGUAAAAAUCCUCAACAAAAUACUAGCCAAUCAAAUCAAACAACACAUCAGAAAGUUCAUUCACCCAGACCAAGUGAGAUUUAUCCCUGGUAUGCAGGGAUGGUUCAACAUAUGCAAAUCAAUAAAUAUGAUACAUCAGAUUAACAAAUGGAAAUAUAAAAACCAUAUGAUUAUUUCAAUAGAUGCAGAAAAUGUAUUUGAUAAAAAAAAUAAUAUCUUUUCCUGAUAAAAAUCUUAGGCAAAUUGGAUAUAGAAAGAGUGUUCCAGGCUGGCAAAGUGGCGUAAUGGAUAGAGUCACUGCCUGUAGUGUCAUCAUCCCAUAUGAGUGCCAGUUCAAGUCCCAGCUGCUCCUCUUCUGAUCCAGCUCUCUGCUAUGGCCUGGGAAAGCAGUACAAAAUAGCCCAAGUCCUUAGGCCCCUGAACCCACAUGGGAGACCUGGAAGAAGCUCCUGUCUCCUGGCUUCUGGCUUCAGAUCAGCUCAGCUUUGGCCAUUGUGGUCAUUCGAAGAGUGAUCCAGUGGCUAGAAGACCUUUCUCUAUCUCUGCUUCUACCUCUCUGUAACUCUGCCUUUCAAAUAAAUAAAUAAAUAUUUUUAAAAAGGAAUGUUCCUCAACACAAUCAAGGCGAUAUAUGACAAACCAAAAGCAAAAGAUGAAUUCAGAAAAUCAGACAAGGAUGCCUAGUUUCACCUUUGCUAUUCAAUAUAGCUCUGGAAGUUUAAUCUAGAGCCAUUAGGCAAGAAGAAGAAAUCAAAGGAAUACAAAUUGGAAAGGAGGAAGUCAAAUUAUCCUUGUUUGCAGGUGACACGAUUCUGUACACAGGGCAACUAAAAGACUACACUAAGAGAUUCUUGGAACUCAUAAAAGAGUUUGGUAAAGCUGCAGGAUUUAAAUUAAACACACAAAAAUCAAUAACCUUUAUAUACACAGAAAAUGCCAUGGCUAGAAAUGAACUUGCAAGAUCAGUCCCAUUCACAAUAGCUACCAAAAAAAACUUAAAUAUCUUGGAAUAAAUUUAACCAAUGAAGUGAAAGAUCUCUACAAUGAAAAUUAUAAAACAUUAAAGAAAGAAAUAGAAAAAUACACCAAAAAGUGGAAAAAUCUUCCAUGUACAUGGGUUGAAAAUUAAUAUCAUCAAAAUAUCCACACUACCCAAAGCAAUUUACAGAUUCAAUGCAAUCUCAAUCAAAAUACCAACAACAUUCUUCUCAGAUCUAGGAAAAACAAUGCUAAAAUUCAUGCAGAAACAAAAGAGACCCUGAACAACUAAGCAAUUUUAAAUAAAAACAAAACUGGAGGCAUCUCAAUACCAGACUUCAAGACAUACUCAGGGCAUUUAUAAUCAAAACAUUCUGCUACUGGCACAAAAAUAGACAUGUAGACCAACAGACAGAAUAGAAAACCCAGAAAUUAGCCCACAUGUCUACAACCAACUAAUAUUUGACAAAUGAGUUAAAAAUCAAUUCCUGGAGAAAGGAGUCUCUUCAGUAAAUGGUGUCUGAAAAUUGGAUCUACAUACAAAGUAUUAAACAAGACCCCUACCUUACACCUUACACAAAAAUUCAAUCAAAAUGGAUCAAGGAUCUAAAUCUACAACCUGAUACCAUGAAAUUACUAAAGGAGAACAUUGGGGAAACUCUACAAAACAUUGGCAUAGGUAAAAACUACUUGGGAAAGACCCCAGAAGCACAGACAAUAAAGACAAAAAUGGGUAAAUGGGAUUACAUCAAGCUGAGAAACUUCUAGACUGCAAAAGAAACACUCAACAAAGGUAAGAAGCAACUGACAUAAUGAGAGAAAAUAUUCGUAAACUAUGCAACUGACAAAGGAUUAAUAAUCAGGAUCUAUGAAGAGCUCAAGAAACUAAGCAACAAAACAAACAAUCCAGUUAAGAAAAGGGCAAAGGACACAAACAGGCAAUUUUCAAAGAAUGAAAGACAAACAGCCAACAGAUUCAUGACAAAAAUGUGCAAGUUCAGUAGCCAUCAGAGAAAUGCAAAUUAAAACCUCAAUAUGCAAAUAAAAACCUCACCCCAAUUAGAAUGGCUAUCAUCCAAAAAUCCAAAAACAAUAAUGUGCAUAAAAGUAUCCUAGUCAAUUGUUCAUGAGAAUGUAAGCUAGUAUAACCAUUAUGGAAGACAGUAUAGGAGAGUCCUCACAGAUCUGAAAACAGAUCUUCCAUAUGACCCAGCCAUGCCACUCCUGAGAAUUUACCCAAAUGAAAUGAAAUCAGCAUAUUGCAACUCCAUAUACAAUAGUUCAGGCCAGCACCCAUGGCUCACUUGGUUAAUCCUCCACCUGCAGCACCGGCAUCCCAUAUGGGCACUGGGUUCUAGUCCCAGGUGCUCCUCUUCCAGUCCAGCUCUCUGCUGUGGCCCAGGAAAGCAGUGGAGGAUGGCCCAAGUGCUUGGGCCCUGCACCCGCUUGAGAGACCAGGAGGAAGCACCUGGCUCCUGGCUUCGGAUUGGCACAGCACGCCAGCUGUAGUGGCCAUUUUGGGAGUGAACCAAUGGAAGGAAGACCUUUCUCUCUGUCUCUCUCACUGUCUAACUCUGCCUGUCAAAUAAUAUACACACACACACACACACACACACACAUAUAUACACACACAAUAGCUAAGAUACGGAAUCAACCCAGAAGUCCAUCAACUGAUGAUUGGAUAAAGAAAAUAUGGUAUGUGUAUACUAUGGAAUACUACUCAACCAUAAAAAGAAUGAAAUCCUGUCUUUUGCAACAAAAUUGAUGCAACUGGAAACAUAUGCUUAGUGAAAUAAGUCAGUCUCAGACAAAUAUCGGGGCUCGCUGUGGCGUAGCAGGUAAAGCUGCCACCUGCAGUGCCGGUAUCCCAUAUGGGUGCCAGUUGGAGACCUGGCUGCUCCACUUCCCAUCCAGCUCUCUGCAAUGGCUUCAGAAAGUAGUACACGAUGGCCCAAGUGCUUGGGCCCCUGCACCCACAUGGGAGACCCACAAGCUCCUGGCUCCUGGCUUCAAAUCAGCACAGCUCUGGCUAUUGUGACCAAGUGGGGAGUAAACCCGUGGAUGGAAGAUCUCUCCCUCUCUCUCUGCUUCUCUUUCUCUCUGUGUAACUCUUUCAAAUAAAUAAAUAAACCUUUAAAAAGGAAGACAAAUAUCAUAUGUUUUCUCUACUCUGCCCACUGAUACAACUUGCUUUCCAAAAAGACAAUAAAUCACUUACUUUAAGGUAAAAGGUUGAAAAAUUGACCCUUUGGCAAAGAAAUUUGAUUUAACAGGGUACUGCAAUCUCCAUUUCCAAUGCUGAAAAUGCAUCAUCAAUAGAAGGUCUUGGAGAAGGAUAACUUUCUGGCAUCCUUUAAAUUAGACUCCUAAAAACAAGUUAGGGAUAACAACCCAUGCAAAGUUCAUAAAAUCACUUCAGUAGAUAAAAAAGUUUAAUUUUUAAUAAAACUGAACAGAAGGAAACAAAAAUACCACUUAGCGCAUGAAGAAAUAUUGUAUCUUAGAAUUCUCCAAAUUGUGUGCUAAAAACACUCUUUUCUUUAUAAGUUACCUAGCUUCAGGUAUUCUGCUACAGCAAUAGGAAAUGGACUAACACACUUCCAAAUCCUGGCAAGAUAAACCAUGACUUCCUUCACCUUACCUUCUACCAGCUGGCCCAUUUCUACCACAUCAACCUAUUCUCCUGCAGUUUAUUCCACUUGCCUCCUGGCACACGCCUGCUUUCUGUAUAUCAAGUAGCAAUGGUCAUGACCUCGUCCUCUCUGCCCUUCAGCCUGAAAUGAGCUCCUCAUCCUCAUUCACAUGGCCUCUUAUCAGUCUCCGAAUCACAACAUCCUUGAAGGCCCAGCUCGUUUCCCACAGUCUCUACACCAGUGCAUAGAUUCACUCACUGCCUCAUAUUCUCUUUCUCCCCAAGCCCUAAGUCAUUAUUUUUAAUCUUUCAUGAAUCCACAUCAUUGGUGUUCUCAUAUUUUCAACUAUUUCCUUUAUUUUUAUAUUAUCUUUUCAAGAAAAAUGUAAGCUCCAUAAAACAGGUAUCUUUUAAGUUUUCUCAUCAUCCCCAACAAAAACCCUCAAAAAAGUUGACCUAAUUGAUGGAUUUCUCUAUAAUGCACAUGGAUCCUAAGAUCACUAUAAUAGUUGAAAAUUGUCAUUAAUUUAAAGAAAUUUUUAUUUUAAUAUUACAUUUAUUUUUAUCAUCCAUUAAAUUUUUGUUUCUAAUUUUAAAAAAAUUAAAUAGUUCUUAUUCUUAAAUCACUUGUGAACAAUUAAUUUUAAGUUUCCAACCAACUGUACUACUGCUACUAAAAAUAAGCUUGCUUUGUUUCCCUUACUUUGUCACUCUCUGCAAGGAGUUACAAUGAGAAAAAAAUUUUUAAGUUAUUGAAGCCGAAUUCAUAGGCAUGUUCAAGGUAGAAGAAGUAGCUUUGUAUGAUAGUGUCUUCUCACUAAAGGGACUGAAUCACAGGUUACAUAAUUAAAGAGGGAAUUCAAACAUGAGCUUGAUGAACUUACCAUUCCAACCUUGAAAUCCUAUGUUUCUAAAUUCUUCUUGCUAAAUAAAUCAAUUGUUACUUUUUCCACCCUCCCCCAUUACCUCUGAAAUAUUUCCUUAAGUUAAUUUUAUGAAAAUUAUUUAUUAGAAUAACUAUAAUAAAAUUCAAAGAUUAUGAUAAAUUUAAAAAUAAGUAGUUCUUGCCCUGGAGUCGAAGGACGCCCAGGUCAGAGCCACAGAUCUUGCUGGCUCUAAGCUGAAAAGCUCUUCACUCUGCCCAGCUUCCAAGGUGACCACUGCUGCUGAGGGGACAGCCAAGUAGGGUCAGUGACAUUGCCAGCAGAACUGUACAUUUCCUGUUAGAGAUGCCACCUGCCUUUACCUGGCCAGCUCUCCUCCCAGGUCAGCUGGGUAAUGGAAGUCAACAGGGUGCCUUCCCCAAGGAGGUUCACACCUCCCUUAGGAUGCACCCCAUGUGAAGAGAUAGGUCUGGGCCUCAUAACUGACAAAGCCUUAAAGCCCACCAGAUUAUUAUCCAGCCCCUUCUGUCAGUCUCUAUUUGCCUCUUAAUCAGAAAACUCAGUCGUGGCUUAGAGAGCACCUUUCUUAGGUCCUUUAGUAAUGACUCUGUCCUGUCUAGCCCACUUGGGGCCUCAUUCCUUUGUAAUCAUGGCCUCUCUAUUCUCAUCCUGUCUUUCAUACUAUUGUA